rnacentral:rRNA from 1 species
GAUGAACGCUGGCGGCGUGCCUAAUACAUGCAAGUCGAGCGAACAGACGAGGAGCUUGCUCCUCUGACGUUAGCGGCGGACGGGUGAGUAACACGUGGAUAACCUACCUAUAAGACUGGGAUAACUUCGGGAAACCGGAGCUAAUACCGGAUAAUAUAUUGAACCGCAUGGUUCAAUAGUGAAAGACGGUUUUGCUGUCACUUAUAGAUGGAUCCGCGCCGCAUUAGCUAGUUGGUAAGGUAACGGCUUACCAAGGCAACGAUGCGUAGCCGACCUGAGAGGGUGACCGGCCACACUCGAACUGAGACACGGGCCAGACUCCUACGGGAGGCAGCAGUAGGGAAUCUUCCGCAAUGGGCGAAAGCGUGACGGAGCAACGCCGCGUGAGUGAUGAAGGUCUUCGGAUCGUAAAACUCUGUUAUUAGGGAAGAACAAAUGUGUAAGUAACUAUGCACGUCUUGACGGUACCUAAUCAGAAAGCCACGGCUAACUACGUG